rnacentral:rRNA from 1 species
GUAUAUCGACUUCACAUGGAGAUGAUAUUAAGAUUACGGUAAAGAUGAGUAUGCGUCCUAUUAGCUAGAUGGUGUGGUAACGGCACACCAUGGCUACGAUAGGUAGGGGCCCUGAGAGGGNGAUCCCCCACACUGGUACUGAGACACGGACCAGACUCCUACGGGAGGCAGCAGUGAGGAAUAUUGGACAAUGGAGGGGNCUCUGAUCCAGCCAUGCCGCGUGCAGGAAGACGGCCUAUGGGUUGUAAACUGCUUUUAUACAGGAAGAAACAGUUCUACGUGUAGAACCUUGACGGUACUGUAAGAAUAAGG